CGUCGCCGCGGGAAUACAGAGGGUGCGAGCGUUAAUCGGAUUUACUGGGCGUAAAGCGUGCGUAGGCGGAUCGUUUAGUUGGGGGUGAAAUCCCGGGGCUCAACCUCGGAACUGCCUUCAAUACUGGCGAUCUUGAGUAUGGGAGAGGUGAGUGGAACUCCGAGUGUAGAGGUGAAAUUCGUAGAUAUUCGGAAGAACACCAGUGGCGAAGGCGACUCACUGGCCCAUUACUGACGCUGAGGCUCGAAAGCGUGGGGAGCAAACAGGAUUAGAUACCCCCGUAGUCCCUGUCUCUUAUACA
rnacentral:rRNA from 1 species